UUUUGGAAAAGUCUUCUGAAAGGCACUCCGGGAAUGAAGUUUGUGUCCGUAACAUGGUAGCGAGGAGUUCAUGCCGGGUUGAUCUACUCCCGGAUCGCUCUGGAGCGGCAUUACGGGUCUGCCUCAAGAUCAGGCUGAAACGGAUCACCUAUGCACUUCCGAGAGUUUAACAUGGACGCCGUAGUAGUUGGCGACGUGUCUCACACCCCUCUGAAGGAAAAUAGAGCUGAUGUAGCGGAAAGGUGAAUCACCUCUCAGACUAGCACAACUGCAACCUUCUCGCAGAGCAGCUCCGCAAAAUCUUUGCAGCCGGGGAAUCGACCCCGGUCAGUACUGUGGGAGGGUACUAUGAUACCACUACAUCAGCUGUGCCCAAGAAAGGAGCCGAUUUGAUAACUUUUAGCACGAUCAAACCAGGUCGCAUCUCGUCCAGGUCGUCGUGCGCAGAAUCACCCACACACCGUCCUUAUGGAGAGGCUAAAAUUUAGCUUUUGGUCAUCCCGCAUCCAUCUGUCGUCGUCAAUUUUCAAUGUGCAGAGAAACACUUACAGCACUGCAUCUUUCACACUGGGCAGGUGAUCAUGGGAUCUCCUUGUUUUGUAGAGUCCCGCCGUGGCUGAUCUUGCUAGUUGGACCUAGGAACCCGACAACCCAGUGGUGGAUGGCAUGGAGACCGAGCUUGGAGGUAAGCUGCCCGUAAACAGCCUGGUCUAGGGAAUGUUAUUGACCCAUGUAGGGAAUGGAGAUAAGAUAAACUAAUAAGGACACCGAGGAAGUGCCGAUUCUGUUUUCUCGUCCUAAAAGUUGUAAGCAUAGACCGUACAGUUGAGGACCUGCAGUCUGAAUCGGCCGUGUCCGCCGUGACUGUCGAACACAUUUGUCUCACCCACUCCAAACCGUAAGAUCAUGAUACGGUUAAAUUCAGUCAUCGCCUUCGGUUUAACCUUCAUUUUGAAGGUGUCAUGCCAAAAUUUUCAAAAAGAGAUACUGCUCUAUUUUCAAUGUAUCCGGCUUCCAAUCCUGGUAUCCAGCUCUCCCGCCAUGAAGCAAACCAACCCACUUGGUUCCACUAUGCACCUGACCUGCCUUAAAGGUUAAUCGAUGCCAAACGUCGAUUAAGGUUAAUCGUCGCAAACACCGCAGAACUGCAGAUAUAUCAACACUUACCUAUGAAGGCUUUUCGGUAAGGAAAGUGACUUUCAGGGCCUCCAGAUACUUCGAUCGUGGUAUGUGGAGGUUCCGACUUUAUGCCAGUUAGGACUUCGAGGCCGAGGUGGGCCCGCUCAGAAUUUAACUACGAAGGGUUUGGAAACAACCUACUUAGCUAAAUUGACAGUCAGGAGAGAAGACGGCGAUGAAUUGAGCCAUGACGUUUGCGAGGAGUGCUAGGAACUGGAGUAUACAGCUGCUGUGGGCCUCGCAGCUUGUGUGGGCGGUGAUAUGAUCAGGCACAGUCUGGUCCAAAUCUGCACCCGUAGUCUCCAACUUAGGGAAAGAUUCAGUGCCGCAAGAGCCUUCAAUAUUGUAUCCUGGGGGAUCGCAGCGUCUUUUGCACGCCGACAAUGAGGGAUGGAUGCGAGAUGCGCGACCAAAAGGAAAACUGAAGUACGUCCACAGUUGGCGGAAGAUUAGAAUAUAUCUUUGUUUCUUCUAAUAAUUAUAAAUUUAUCUUUAGUUAUAAUAAUAGUAAUAUUGAAGAUUGUAUAGAGAAUAAUUCUUUACUUAUUGUGAUUGGAUUAUUUGUUAAUGUAAAGCAACAUUGUAUUGAAUCCAUCAUAAAUUACACAUUGAAUCCUA